rnacentral:rRNA from 1 species
AUUGAACGCUGGCGGCAUGCCUUACACAUGCAAGUCGAACGGCAGCACGGGUGCUUGCACCUGGUGGCGAGUGGCGAACGGGUGAGUAAUACAUCGGAACGUACCUUAUCGUGGGGGAUAACGCAGCGAAAGCUGUGCUAAGACCGCAUACGCCCUGAGGGGGAAAGCGGGGGAUCGAAAGACCUCGCGCGAUUAGAGCGGCCGAUGCCUGAUUAGCUUGUUGGUGGGGUAAAAGCCCACCAAGGCGACGAUCAGUAGCUGGUCUGAGAGGACGAUCAGCCACACUGGGACUGAGACACGGCCCAGACUCCUACGGGAGGCAGCAGUGGGGAAUUUUGGACAAUGGGGGAAACCCUGAUCCAGCAAUGCCGCGUGAGUGAAGAAGGCCUUCGGGUUGUAAAGCUCUUUUGUCAGGGAAGAAACACCGGCUCUAACACAGUCCGGGAAUGACGGUACCUGAAGAAUAAGUACCGGCUAACUACGUGCCAGCCGCCGCAGUAA